UACAGAGGUGGCAAGCGUUGUUCGGAAUUACUGGGCGUAAAGGGCGCGUAGGCGGCCCGCCAAGUCUUGCGUGAAAGCCCCCGGCUCAACUGGGGAACUGCGCAGGAAACUGACGGGCUUGAGUUCGGGAGAGGGAAGCGGAAUUCCGGGUGUAGCGGUGAAAUGCGUAGAUAUCCGGAGGAACACCAGUGGCGAAGGCGGCUUCCUGGACCGACACUGACGCUGAGGCGCGAAAGCUAGGGGAGCAAACGGG
rnacentral:rRNA from 1 species